rnacentral:rRNA from 1 species
GAUGAACGCUAGCUACAGGCUUAACACAUGCAAGUCGAGGGGAAACGCCAUCGAAAGCUUGCUUUUGAUGGGCGUCGACCGGCGCACGGGUGAGUAACGCGUAUCCAACCUGCCCAUCACUUGGGGAUAACCUUGCGAAAGUAAGACUAAUACCCAAUGAUAUCUCUAGAAGACAUCUGAAAGAGAUUAAAGAUUUAUCGGUGAUGGAUGGGGAUGCGUCUGAUUAGCUUGUUGGCGGGGUAACGGCCCACCAAGGCAACGAUCAGUAGGGGUUCUGAGAGGAAGGUCCCCCACAUUGGAACUGAGACACGGACCAAACUCCUACGGGAGGCAGCAGUGAGGAAUAUUGGUCAAUGGGCGAGAGCCUGAACCAGCCAAGUAGCGUGCAGGAAGACGGCCCUAUGGGUUGUAAACUGCUUUUAUAAGGGAAUAAAGUGAGAGUCGUGACUCUUUUUGUAUGUACCUUAUGAAUAAGGACCGGCUAAUUCCGUG